rnacentral:rRNA from 1 species
CGCAAGAAUACGGUCGCCCGGAACGUCUGUUCCGGGCGCAUGUUUCGCCAAAGGCAGAAGCACACCCGACUCAAUCAGCUGGCUCCCCCCCGGCCGCCGGGCCACCGCACGCUGGCCCAGAGAAACUUGCGUGGGCUGGAAGGGCCCUCACCCUCCGCCCGCCUCGUCUGCAUGGCCGGCCGAGCUCCCCCGUAUUGUUGGGGGGGUGGUGCCGCGACGGCCCCUGGCUGUCCGGCCCCGGUGUCUGCACCAUUUUGGGGCGGUGGCCGCCGCCGCCGCUUCCUGGGCCCUGCUCAGAGGCAUUUGCAGACGGUGCGCGUGGGAACGCCACCACUCCAAGCAAGCAAAGCAAGCAAGCAAAGAGAGCCCAUUAGCAGCAGCGA